UCGUCCACCUGUUGAGGACAGAUGAAAUGAAUAUGCGUAUCGAAUCCUCCAGCGGUGACAAUCUUAUUCUCACCAGCGACCACGUCCGUCGAGGAGCCGACGACCAUUUCCGGGUGUACGCCGUCCAUGACAUCGGGAUUUCCCGCCUUGCCAAUGCCGGUGAUGAUACCGUUUUUGAUUCCAAUAUCGGCCUUGUAGAUACCGGUCCAGUCGAUCACCAGCGCGUUCGUGAUCACCGUGUCCAAACAGUGUUGGUGGGACUUGUCCGAUGAUUGACCCAUUCCAUCUCGG
rnacentral:sRNA from 1 species